UCAUAGACAAGGACUGGGAAUCAGAAACACAGAAAAUACAAAUUCUGACCUUGUUAGUUCUACCAGCUGUGACACUAUGAGCCUGAGAAACUGAACUUGGCAGUAAGGAAAUAGACCUCAGGGAACCCAGCUGCCUGGAUUGAAGCACCAGCUGUUUCUAGGACUCUCCUGGAGGCUUCAGGCUUGAGGGAUAUUCUAACAUUUCCACUAGGGGAAGAGAGCCACUCCUCAGCACUACCACUUUAACAGGCUGGCUCAUUGCCAGCUAAAUCCACAAAUUCCCAGGGUUACACUGUGAUGGUUCAGUUCCUUUACCACAAGGUAGAUUUCUACUCUCAGCCUCAAUUGAUCUUUUUUCUCUCCACCAAAAUCCUUUAUAAUAUUGGCAAUUUUUUAGUCUUCAAAUGAUUUGUGUGUUUCCACUCACACAGUAACCUACAACUCAGUGAUACUGGUGUUCCAAGACUAUUAGUUCAAAUCCCAUUGAGAUCACUAAAUGUCCUAUGACUUUAAAAUGGUCACACUUUUGAAGUUUAGCAGAGAAUAUAUUAUUGGAUAUGGCCACUCUAUUCUUUGCAUGUAUAAUCCUGUUUUCCAUGUUUACAUUGGAAUUUCAACUACUCUUGCUUUUAAGUGCAUCUAUUUUGGCCACACUAUUCUUCAUGAGUUGAAGAAUCUCCCCAAAUACAUACUCAUUUUUCUUUGUAUAAACAUUUAUUUAGUCUGGUCCAGGCACUUUUCUAGCAGCAGAGUACUCAGGGAUUGAUAGAAUAUAUUGUCUGCUCUCCAGGUAGAUCUAGUCUAAUGCAUGAGGGAAAUGUAAGAAAAUAAAAACAAGCAGCUAAAGGAGCAUUUCCUGUCCCAAACCCCACGUCCUUCUCUAAAGCUAUUUUUGGAUUAUGUAGAUGCAGAGAAUUGAUUAUAAUUCCUAUAAAAUAAAGUAUCAUAAAAUAUG